rnacentral:pre_miRNA from 1 species
AUGUAGGGCAAUAUGUCUGUCUUUAAGUAGGGGUAAAUUACUCUUGAACAAAAUGGUCCUAGACAGUUUUCCCUUCAAGUCAAGCGUCUUGU